GAUGGCAAGUUUGUCUCAACAUUUAGUAACUGAAUGUUGGUGGGUUUAACCUAAGUGCUCCCUGAGCAAUUAAAAGAAAGAAGCAUAAUGUGAAUUCCACCCCUACACUGAGGAUCUGAACAACAGCCUGGAUUGAAAAAGGAGAGUUGUAUGGGAAGCACUUGGCAAAGUUCAGGGAAAAUCCAGGUGUGAAUCACUUCUCUGCUUCUGCCCUGUCCCAAAGUUCAUGUUCAGGGAGGAUUGGAAAGGUACUGAAGCACCAAACAGGGAUCUUCAGGAGUAAACAAAUCCUCCAGUGGACCCACAUUCAGCCACCCCUGAACUUCUGAGACAGAGCUGAGCAGCUGAGGGCAGGAUUGUGCCUGGUUCUGUUCUGGUCCUGGUUCUGUUCUGGCUCUAUUCCUGGUUCAGUUCUGGUUCUGUCCUGGCUCUAUUCCUGGUCUGUCCUGGUUCUGUUCCUGGCUCUAUUCCUGGUUCUUUCCUGGUUCUAUUCCUGGUUCUGUCCUGGUUCUGUCCUGGUUCUGUCCUGGCUCUAUUCCUGGUCUGUCCUGGUUCUGUUCCUGGCUCUAUUCCUGGCUCUAUUCCUGGUUCUGUUCCUGGCUCUAUUCCUGGUUCUGUCCUGGCUCUAUUCCUGGUUCAGUCCUGGUUCAGUCCUGGUUCUGUUCCUGGCUCUAUUCCUGGCUCUAUUCCUGGUUCUGUUCCUGGCUCUAUUCCUGGUCUGUCCUGGUUCUGUUCCUGGCUCUAUUCCUGGUUCUAUUCCUGGUUCUGUUCCUGGUUCUGUUCCUGGCUCUACUCCUGGUUCUGUCCUGGUUCUGUUCCUGGUUCUGCUGCCCCCAUCCACCCCGGCACAGCCAAGCUGCUCUGCCCCGACACCACAUCCUGUUGCCCCGGGAGCAAGGGAAGGGAUGUGGGAUUGCUCAGCCAGCCACAGCUCCAUUGCAUCACUGCUCAGUCACCUGCCUUCCUCUGCCUCCACUCCCUGCUCCCAGGCUCCAUCCCAAACCCUCCUGCAGGUUAUUUUUCUCAGGAAUACAAAUAAAAGCACACUGCUUCACCUGUGUUCUCUGCCCUUGGCUUCCUCCAUCUAUUCCCAGCUGCAUCCCAUCCUGCCUCUCCCUUGAGCCCCGUCCCUUCCUCUCCACUUCCAGAGUGAUCCAAAACCCACUGGAGUCAACAGAACACUUUCUGUGGCCUUCCAGGACCUUGGAUCCGCUCUUGGACAAGCUCUGUUCCUCUUUAAAAUCUCUUCUUCACAUAAAGCUUUUCAUUGUGCUCGCCUCUGUUGUCU
rnacentral:lncRNA from 12 species